UACGUAGGGUGCGAGCGUUAAUCGGAUUUACUGGGCGUAAAGCGUGCGCAGGCGGUUGUUUAAGUCAGGGGUGAAAGCCCUAUGCUCAACAUAGGGAUUGCCUUUGAUACUGAACGGCUAGAGUGAAGAUGGAGUGGGUGGAAUGUGUUGUGUAGCGGUGAAAUGCAUAGAUAUAACACAGAACACCGAUCGCGAAGGCAGCUCACUAAUUUUCAACUGACGCUCAUGCACGAAAGCGUGGGGAUCAAACAGG
rnacentral:rRNA from 1 species